AAGAGCCGUGAGUUGUUAGCUAAACUUCGCUCACAACAAAACCCGCUCACACGACCCUCGUCAGCCCAGGAAAGCUACUGUGUCGACAUCUGUCAGCAGGAAACCUGGCUCACUUCCCCAGUCUGAGAGAGGUAAACCUGGUACAACAGAAACUGUCUGAAUAUGCAACACUUGUCAGCAACCUAGACCUGGAGUUUGAAAUGCGCUUUCAGGACUUCAGGAAGAAUUCAGGUGACAUGGAGCUGUUUUCCCAACCCUUCAGCACAAGUGUGGACUGUGUCCCUGAUCACAUUCAGAUGGAGUUGAUUGAGUUUCAGUGCGAUUCAGAGCUGAGGAAUAAAUUCAUGUCACUGAAACCGAAGGACUCCUACACACGUCUCACCAGAACGGUACCCAAACAUUAGGAAGCAUGCACAGGUGAUGUUAUCUCUGUUUGGCAGCACCUACAUUUGUGAACAGACUUUCAGUGUAAUGAACCUUAACAAAACCAGGCUCAGAAGCACUCUGACUGAUCUACACCUGCAGGACGUUCUCACCCUCUCAGUUUACACAGCUUCAGCCUGACAUUGAGAGGCUGGUCAAAGCCAAAGACCAGCUUCAUGUGUCUCACUAAUAGUGUCAAACUGCUGCUGUUUGCUGUUAAUAUGGACAUGCAUAUGGACAUAAUUCGUGGCUAAAUAAAGAUUCAUUUGCUUUG